GGGUGAUCUGGCUACCACAUACUCAUUGAUGAGUUGUUUUUAGCUAAUAUGCCAUCCCCAUCCCUCCCAAAGCUGCAUACUCUGUGGAAAAUUAUAACCUCUUUCUCCAAUAGAAGAGGACUAAUUUUCAAUCAAAGAUACACAAGUAGUUGCACUUCCUUGUUAGAACCCCCAGGCAAGCUCUCAAGGUCCAUUUAUUGACUGUAGUGAGUAGUAAAGCUUCUAAGAUUCGAUCCACAUAAGGCACUGCAGGUUACAGUCUUUUCUU
rnacentral:snRNA from 1 species